rnacentral:rRNA from 1 species
AGUGAACGCUGGCGGUAGGCCUAACACAUGCAAGUCGAACGGCAGCACAGUAAGAGCUUGCUCUUACGGGUGGCGAGUGGCGGACGGGUGAGGAAUACGUCGGCAUCUACUUUUUCGUGGGGGAUAACGUAAGGAAACUUACGCUACUACCGCAUACGACCUACGGGUGAAAGCAGCGGAUCUUCGGACCUUGCGCGUUUCAAUGAGCCGAUGUCGGAUUAGCUAGUUGGCGGGGUAACGGCUCACCAAGGCGACGAUCCGUAGCUGAUCUGAGAGGAUGAUCAGCCACACUGGAACUGAGACACGGUCCAGACUCCUACGGGAGGCAGCAGUGGGGAAUAUUGGACAAUGGGCGCAAGCCUGAUCCAGCCAUACCGCGUGAGUGAAGAAGGCCUUCGGGUUGUAAAGCCCUGUUGUUGGGAAAGAAAAGCAGCAGGUUAAUACCCCGCUGUUCUGACGGUACCCAAAGAAUAAGCACCGGCUAACUUCGUG